GUGAGUGCCCACCUCCAAGCUCAGAGGCCUCAGAUCCUCUCCUGGUUAGGGGAAGCUCUCUGCCUUCCUCUGAACCACCUUAUUUUCUAGAGUAUUGUCAGGACCCAACAGCAUGAAGCCAGAAAAUGCUUCCUCAAGGCUCAGCCUUAGGGACUGGUGUGUCCAGAGCUGAGACUCUAAUGAGUGUGGGUGUUCUCUGCACCUUUAAGAAGCUCUCUAUCCUAUUGGAGUAUAGAAUAGAGAUGUGUCCAGAGUGGAGACAUUACCCCUGGAGGGUAAUCCAAGGGACCUCGUGUGCACUGGGAUGUCUGGAUAGAGAUGUUUGUGAUCACCCACUGUACAAACAUAUUUGAAGCACCUACUUACUGUAUGAGGGUGAAUUCAUAAUUCUGAGGGCAGACAGGACUUCUAGGCGAUGGACUUGGAUUCCUCUCCAGGUAUCAGUGUCCCCCUAGAGGUCUUUUGGAUGGGGACCUGGGACUCUACAGGUGACGUCCUUCCUGGUCUCCUCCAGCACCAUCUCCACCUUCCUGGAUAUACGGAUUGAGAAGUUCCCUGAGGAUUUUUGCCAGGCAUCAGUCCUGUCCAUUCUGAAACAAGUGAAGAACUACUUGAUUGUCAACAUUCCCCAUUCAGAUGUUCUCAUGCAUGUCAAUGAACUCCUGACCCAGCUGCAGACAGAAGUGGCCAGUAACUCAGAGGCCAGCACUGAGGAAGCCUCAGAGAUGCCUGCAUCAGCAGCACAUCCUUAGAUCUGGGGAGCUGAACAUGCACAGAUCUGGAGCUUGAGGUCUGUUAACCAACAACGAAGACAGCUACAUCAGAACUGGAGACCACAACACCCAGCAGAAGUUUCUGUGACACCCGUGAGAUGUGGCAGCAGCAGUUGGGUCACCACGCGGGCUAGUAGCUGUGGAUACCGAGUGUCAGCAUGUCAGCAGAUGCUGCAGCUUUUGCACAUCUGACUUUGCUGCAGUGCAUCUACCUCCCCAGGGAACGGCCCUGCCACCCGUUUCCCUUCUGCUGAACCAUCAGCACCUGCUCUGCAGACAGCACCAGUUCUGUGUUCCCCACAGAAUCCCUCCUGGAUUUGAACCCCCAGCCUUCUCAGCCCCACAGCCAGCCUCCCCAUCCCGAGUAACUGUUUUUAUUGUUCUAGUUAUUUUCGAUAUUGUAUUAGUUUAAGUAUUGGUUUUAAUAAAUUGUUCGUUGGUUUUU